rnacentral:rRNA from 1 species
UACGUAGGGGGCAAGCGUUGUCCGGAAUCAUUGGGCGUAAAGAGCGUGUAGGCGGCCCGGUAAGUCCGCUGUGAAAUCUCGAGGCUCAACUUCGAGCUGUCGGUGGAAACUGUCUGGCUAGAGUCCGGAAGAGGAGAAUGGAAUUCCUGGUGUAGCGGUGAAAUGCGCAGAUAUCAGGAAGAACACCCGUGGCGAAGGCGGUUCUCUGGGACGGUACUGACGCUGAGACGCGAAAGCGUGGGGAGCGAACAGG